rnacentral:rRNA from 1 species
CGUGUAGGCGGUUAAUAAAGUUGAAAGUGAAAUCCCCGAGCUUAACUUGGGAACUGCUUUCAAAACUCAUUGACUAGAGAACGAUAGAGGAUAACAGAAUUCCUAGUGUAGAGGUGAAAUUCUUAGAUAUUAGGAGGAAUACCGGUGGCGAAGGCGGUUAUCUGGGUCGUUUCUGACGCCAAGGCGCGAAAGCGUGGGGAGCAAACA